rnacentral:ribozyme from 1 species
CAAAAAGAAAAGCCAAACUAAAGAAAAGGAAAGAAAAGGAAAGAAAAGAAAAGGAAAAC